AGGACCUCCAAAGGGCUUUAUAUUGUCUUUGGAGGAGGGUGGAGUAUAAGUCUAUCUCUUAUUUUAACUCAAUGUGAAGCUACUUUUUCUCUUGCUUCUACCUUCCCUACCUUCUAAUGGUGCUAAACAAUCAAAUGCAGAGCCCUUUGCCUUCUUUCAGACCUUAGAAGAAGAAAAUUAUUCAAUUCAUACACAAAGAUGAAGGUUAGAAUCUAGAAUCCAGAAAGGUCUAGGAAUUUAGAGAAUCAGAUGUACUCUCUGGAUCUCGGGAUCCAUCAAGGAGAAUCAGAACGAGUUAUUUUUCUCUGAGCUUCCUGAAUUUUGUUUUAUGCUUUGGGCAUAAUUAGAACACCCGCGAGGCUUUGAGGAAGGGAGAUGUUUGCAGGGGUGCUUCAGAUGUCUAGUGGGGUCUAGAAAGAGGGAGACCAAAGAGACUCCAGCCCCUAGGAAAACAGAGGUCUAGUGGGGCAGCUUUUGUGUGGAAUUCAGUGUGCCACACCCCUCUGCAAAAUGUUGGGACCCCUUUGGCUCAGGUAACCCCAUUCACGUUCUAGGGUGCUUUCAGCAACUCCGGUUUCCGUCUUCCCUUUGCAAUCGGCUGUGCUGUUCAUCUAGGACGUCAAGGUUUUCCUUUCCUCGCUAAGUCUUCCCUGUGUAAUCUAAUGCUUCGUUUCUUCCCAGAAAAAUAAGAUAGUUGCUCCAAAUUCAGCAUUUCAAUAAGUCAUGGAAAGUCCCUCUUUGCAAAAGAUAGGGGAUUAGUUCCUGCCAUGAGCUCAUCGGCAUCAUCUCCAUUUAUUUCUCAGGGGUGAUGAGAAGACCUUUGCAUUUGACCAAAAAGCACUAGUAAAUAAGGAGUUAAAAUGAAGGCAGGCUCGCUGGUUUGCUGAGAUCUGUCAGAGUCUGACUGGCUGGCUACAUAUCUGUCUCUGGAACAAUAGGUACCUGUAUUCUGCACGGACUGCCGGGCAGCACUGACACUCUGGAGAAGGUCUGCCUCUGUGUGCGCUGCCCCGGUGAGAAUCCCCAACGACAGCUCCACUUUCCAGUGGAGGAGGAAAAAAAUCUCCGUCUACUCUCUUGAUGAAGGACAGAGCUUUGAUCAUUUUUAUUCAGGCUUGUUUUGGCCGGAGGUUUCAGGUUGCAUGCGAGCAGAUGAAUUCCACAGCUGGAACUGAGGCACAGAGCAAUAAACACAGUGGAGCCCAUCUCUGCCGUGGUGAGAGGGGGCAUCAGAAGUGACAACAAUGACAAGGACCCAAGGACCGUCCUUCUGACAAGUUUCAGGUAAGAUUCUAUUUAUGCCCCAAUUCUUGUAUUUUUGCAUCCUUGUGGUUGAAAGGGACAUUGAGCUAGAAGGCAAGUGUCGAGAGGGAAAUCUUUCCGUGAGUAGCAUCUGCUGUCACUUGCCUGCAAACCUGUGUUCUCAGGGCUUUGUGUUACUGGAAUCAUCGGAGGUGAGGUGUGAGCGGGGCUGGGCAGAAGCAUGAGUUGCUUUUUAUGUCUGUCUGGUGACAUUUAUCAUGCUGUAUAAAUUCCUAUCUGGAAAAAAUUCUGUUUGAUGAUAGUUAGCAAUGUUUUGUGCAAUAUAGAGCAUAUGGCUGUGGAGAAUUCAAGUGAUGCUCUUUCAUUCUUAAUUUGUAAUUAUUUUUACACUCAACUGUACUGAGGUCAGAGAGUUUUAAAAAUUAAUGAGAUUUCCUGUGGAGUUCAAAUAGUAAUGCCUACGUGAGCUGCCACAAAAAGAUAAGCUGAUGCUGGUAUAUUUUAAAGAUAGACUUAACUGUCUUUUUUGAACAUACUCCAUUGGAAAUAUUUGGGUUUUCUAUGGUUGAAUGGAUGCUUAAGUAUGUGGGGAUAUUAGUCCUUAAAAAAUUUUUUUUAAUGACCUGGAGAAAUUUUGUCAAAAUUAGACUGUAGAAGAUGAGUGUAUUUUGUAGAAAUAGUGCUAAAACUCAAUCCAUUUAUUGUUAUGGCAUUGGAGAAUAGCUUAUACUUUCGAGGAAAUGACAAAUAACGAGUGAGACACAUGCUAAGAAAAGCUGCAAAUUGCUUUCAUCUGAAGUAAUAGAGAAAAAUUCAGGAGAUACUUAGGGUACAAAAAUUGCUGGCACGAACAAAGAAGCAAGUAUACCCAUAGAUGAGAAUUCUUUGUCACAAAAAUGAAUCCAGGGCAUGGAUUUAGAAGGUUAAGUGAUUUCCACAGUUCUUGGUGCCCCCACAAAAUGGGUGAGUGCAGGCAUUUUAAAACAUACCGAAAACUUUCAUUUCCCACAAUUUAAAAACAUUGUUUGUGUUCCUGAUACAACACGUUGUUUAAAAGAGCGAGAUUGGAAAGCAGUCUGAGUAUACAGUAAUGGGGCUCAAGAUGCUUUUUAUCCUGAGUCCCCCAUUUACAAGACCCAUUCUGAGCUUCCUGCGAUAUAUUGUUAUGUAAAUACUGUGCAGCCAGGGAAAGCAGUACUAUGGAGAUUCAAUUUACUUUGAAAGUUGUUCAUUAUAGCAGGGAUGAAUGUUAUUUAUUUGAUGUGAUUCAAAGGCUGGAAAUGACUUUUUCAUUGUGGCGCCUUUUGUAAGGGGUGCAGGGUGAUCUAAUCUUUUUAAUUUUGGCUUUCACACCAGUGGAGAUGAAAAGAGAUCUGAACUCAUUUAUUGGUUGCUAGGUCUUUCUGGAGACCCAAGUCCUGUUCUUGGUUGCUAUGGCCAGUCUGACCUCAAUCUCUGUGGUUUGGGGGACUUAAGCAGCGUGGGUUUUUUUAUUUUUGUAUUUUGUGUGUGUGUGUAUUGAGGAGCAUGUACCUUGAAUUAUGUCCAAAAUUGUAGCUGAACGUCUUUGUCUGCAAGUGAUAAAUGGUGGCGAACAAUUCAUCAGUUCUUACAAGUAAACACCGCUGUCCCACUAAAAAUAUGUUUUGUUCUGAGUUAAUGGUAUGGAACAAGGCAGCCUCCACACACAGCUAUCUUUUAUUGUAGAGGGGCCUCUGAAACUUGGAGCAAAGUGGAGGAAAUUGGCAUUCAUUUUCGUGUCCAUUAGCAUUUCAUUUGUGAUUCGGACGAUGCGGCUUUAGGUGGAUUGAGGAGGAGAGGGUAGACCUUCCAUUCCCUUGCUUUCUCUUUAGUGGGGGCUGCCUGUGAAACAGGCCUUCUUCCGAUGCCUGGAUUCUGCUAGGGUGCCGAGAAGUCAGGACUAGUUUCUCCUGCCCAGCUUUGCAACUGCCAAGAGCUGAGGCACCAAUAGGUGGGUGUGCUGUGGCUCUGGCGCCUUCGGUCUCCUGCUGGUUCUCGGAGGGAAAGUUGUGUCUGUCAUUGGUGACUCCCAGGAAUGUUUGUGUGCUACUUAAUGGUCCCUGGUCGUCCUUGCAUUCUAGAACCUUGUUAAAAGGAGCCGUGGUGAUUAAGAGGCUGUGGAGUAUACAGCCGUGCUUAGCAGAUGAGCCCUCGUACUUGUCCCCGUUCCCUUAAAAAACUGCUUAAUUGAUGCUGCGGGGAGCACACACUCUGAUAAUAAGACAAUGAUGACAGAAUAGGUAUCAGGAAAGGCUUUUAUUGCUUAUAAGCGCCAUCGGCUUCCUUCCAAGAGAGAUUGCUGCUUUGUGGUAUAGUUUUUUCUUUUAAUAGUAGUGUGCUAAUGGUUUUUAUUCUAACUCGGCCAGCACUGAGUGUCUCCAGGAAAAAGGGGUUCCAUAAGAAGUGGCAUCCUCCUCCAGUUGAAAGGUAAAAACUAAACAUUUUUAAAAGCGCAAUUUUCAAACCAUUUCAUGUACCUCUUGCCGGUAGCAUUAGAAAACUCCUUUCUAAAUGAAACUGUUUAAAAUGUAAACUAUUGUUCUUAACAUAAAAGGUUUAAAGAAGAAACUAUUUCAGGGAAUUUUAUUGUUAGUCAUUUGCUAAAGAUUGCCUAGCUUUUCUGAACAAAAUAGGAUCAGGUACCUUGUGUUUUACCUUCAGCCUGGAAAAUAAGUAGACUUUAUAUUUUAGAGAAAUGAUCAUUUGGGGAUCAAUAAAAAUGAUCUUUAUUUUAUGUAGACUUUAUUUCUAGAACUGGCCGAAAAAACACAAAACAAAACAGGAUUAGGUGAUAUGGAUGGUCUCUUCUGGCUUAAAAACUCUUCAAAGAGUGCUAGUUUUCUGAAAAAAAAAAAAAUAUAUAUAUAUAUAAGGAUGCCUUUAUUAGUAUAAUUGGACUAAUUCAUCUAAUGUUUAGCUCUUUCAUUGAACAGCAGUUAGAAGUUCUAUGCCCUGUUGUAUAGGUAAUAAUUGCGGUGGAGGUAAUGUCCAAAAAAUUGAAUUUUGGAAGUAUUUUUAAACUGCUGCUUUAGUGCUUUAUUAAGAGUGAGGUUUUGCAAAGCUCAGUUGUGGCUGCUUAACUUGGGUUUCUUACCUAGAUCUUCUUGAAGGUAAUACUUUCUAUGAGGGGUUAAUUUCAGAAGAAAUAUUUAAUUCCAGGUACCCGAAGACAAAUAUUCCCGGUAUGUGGUAUGUAUCUAUGUAUGUAUAUGAAUGUAUUUUAAUGUAAAAUGUCCUAUAAAUUUUACAUUGUGUUUUGCUUUGCUCUUAUUUCAAUGGAUUUAAGUGAAUGUUGGAUAGCGCUCAAUUUCCUGAAAUGAUUAAAUUCAGUCUCUGAAGAAUCUGGGGAAAAGGCCUGUAAUGACAUUUUGAUGACUUUCAUUUUAAGGUGUAAUAGAAAUUGAGUAAAAUAUUUUAAUAGUUAUUCUCUAAUAUCUCAUUCCAAAUACAAUGUUUUUAUUGCUCAUUCUAGCUUACAAUUUUCUGGUGAUAAUAAUGUUAGCUGGUAAUUGUUUCUUGCAUAGAAACCAUUUUCACCUUAUGUAAAAGUAUUUUAGAAAAGUCUUCAUGAAUUUAUCUCAGCUGAAGCAAUUAUAUUGAACUCUAGAUAAAACAGUGAGCAUUCCCAGAUUCCUCCUGGUUUAAUUUAGUACUUCCCUAUAAGAUUUAGCUUUAUCGGAAAAGGAGGACUACUCCAUAUGAUAGUUUGUGAUUCAAAGAAGAAAAACAAAGAGUCAUGUAAGUCAGGGCAGACUGAGAGAACAGAAGGAAUAAAUGCUAUUGCUACCCAUUCUCACAAAAGUGGCUUGGCUUUUCUUCCAGAUAUCCUGUAUGUUUUAAAAUUUUAGAAUGUACUAAAGUGUGUGUAUAAAUACGCAGUUAUUGUAUCUAUCUUUAUUGAACAGAUACAUGCAGAUGUGUAAACUUAAUUUGAUUGCUGCUAAUGGUACCAGAAAUAUCUUUGUUUCUCAAUUCUUUUGGGAGAUGUAGACACAAGUAAAGUUAAUCACAUAGCUUUUAAAGAAUCAAAUCUUUUGGGAAGUGGAGUUGUGACAUAUUAGAUCAAUUUUCACGUACGUCAAAAUGAAAUCCUUAAAUCAGUUUUUCUGUGUAUGUUACACAAAGCCAUUAGCUUCCAAAUUGCGUUCUAAAUACUAAUUAGAAAAAUUUUAUGCAAUUUGACUUGAUUGUAGUGAAUAUUUGAAGUCAAUAGAAUAUUAUUGCUGCAUUAGCAUGCCAUCAGUGCAUUUUUUAAUAAGAGUAAAAUUAAAUUCUAGUAUCAGGUUAUUCUCCUCCCCUAAUGUGUUUACUAAAUUUCUCCAAGUUUGCUUUCUUUUUGUAAUUAACAUUCCUUUCCAAAUACCAGUGCUGCCCAGUAAUCGGUUACUCUUAGUUUCUUUCUGCCACCUAUAAUUUUGUUUUUUGUCUUUUUGGUGUACCAUUAUUCUUACCUGUCACCUGGAAAGUUGUAUUGACUUUGAAGCUGUUUAUCUGACCUAUUUGUCUGAGUUUGGGGUUUAAAAAAAAAAGCAAACUUGUUUUAUUAGACAUUGUGUAUAAAGUGCUGAAAGAUUUGAGCUGGCCUUGGGAUGUUGUUCAAGGGCUUGAUAUUAGGAUGUAGGAUUUUCCCAGUAGUGGCAACUUACUUGCGUAAUUCAAUAACAUCUUUCCUUUAUCUGUUAGAUUAUUUUCCACAAAAUAGUGUGCCAAGUGGUAAACCUCAAAUUACACUGAGCAUCAUCUAAAAAAUUUAUUUUAGACAAAGAACUGGCAGGGGAGGCGGGGCUCUUAGAGAGCUAAUGGAUUUGCCCCAAGUUACCACCCUAGCAUGUUGACAAGGACACAUGGUAGUUUUAUCUACUGGUAUUUUGUGUUUAAUCACCUCCAAGAUCCAAUAGCAGGUUUUAAUUUGCACAGCUAUCACUCAGAUACUUUUGUUUAAAUGAUACCAGAGUGAUUUAAGAAAACAAAAUUUUGGCUAAAAGGCCUAAUUAUAUAUAUAUAUAUAUAUAUAUAUAUAUAUAUAUAUAAUCUGCUCUAGCCCUCAGUAAUAAUUAGCUGAAACAUUGAGAAUUUGUUCAGAUUUUAACAUGUGAAAGUGUAAUUUGCUUAAUGGUGUUUAUAAAUUUUUUUUAUCAAAAGAUGGCCUAUAUAGACUUACAAUGACCCCAAGUCCUUCUAAAGAUGCUAGACUUUAUGAUCCCACACCAUAUGGUGAACAGAAGCUUUUUACAUUAUUAAUAAUAUCUCUAAGCCAUUAUUUACAUUCUUAAUGUUGCUUUGCAUUAUUAUUUAAGCACGAUGUACUUGUGAUGCAUAAAUCCUUGAAUUUCCUGUCUUUUUCACAGUCCAAAAGCAAAGACUGAAAUAUACCAUAAGGCUAGGAGUGUCCUUAGAGAAAGGAAGACAAGGUAGCUUACCAUGGUCAGGAACAUCUGGUGUGUAGUUAAUUAUCACAGCCUCAAGGGUUUUAACAUAGUUUACUGCAGGCAUCUUUGAAAAUAUUGGAUUUUCAGAAAAUACUUAAAGAAUUCAAUUUGCUAGAAAUCUGAAACAUGGACAUCUAAUAAAUUAUAAAGAUGUCUUUCCAUAUGGAUUUAGAAAAUAGUCAUUUGUUCAUUCGACAAACACUUAUUCGGGACCUACCCCAGGCCAGACACUCUUCUCGUAGCUCUUAAUUUAAUAUUCACCAUUGAUUCAAUAUUCAUUAUUUGCCUCGUUUGCAUGUAUAGGAGUCUCACCAGCUAUUCAUACAUCAUCAGUUAAUCACAUCACAAUCCAUAUUAUUUUGGCACUUGUAUUUCUCAUGGUUUAAAAUAUAUUCUAGGCAUAAACACUGAUUUAGAAGAAUGUAUUGGCAAAACAGUCACAAUGAGUUUUAAUAAUUCAUUGAUAUUCAGGCCCACGAUGCCACAGACACUUUGUUGGCUUUAUUGUUACUUAUACUAUUUUAAGGGAACUUUAAUUCUAAUUAUUAACGGCUAACACUUAUUUUCUCUGUGCCAAUCAUUGUGCUUAGCUCUUUACCUUUGUUCUUUCAAUUACAUUGUGAGAAAGAUGGUAUCACUGUCCCCACUUGUGGAUGAGGAAGUGGAGACUUUAAGAAGUUAAGUACCACCCUGGAGGUUACAGAGCUAGUUUAAGCAGCUGAGGUGACUUAAACCCAGGUCUUUCAGGCCCUAGUCAUUCAACAACUAUCAUUGAGCAUUUGCUCAAGAGGUUUAGAAAAAAGCUGUGGAUACAACAGGCAAGUCCGUGCCCUUAGACAGGGACUCAAAGGCACUUUGAUGCUUUCAUUGCGUCAUUUCCCUUUGCAUAUGUGUUCCCUAGAGCCAAUAGGAUAAUGUUUUAAAAGUUCCAAACUUCUUCAGCCUUCUCUCCAUUUGGCUUGAGUCUUUCUUUCUGAUUUCAGUAUUGCCUAUUUCUAAACAGGAAUUUUCUGCAAUAGGCUGAUCUGCUCAUUGCCCCCACAGUUUGCCUAUAUUUCCUCUGAUAAUUCCUGCACCUGAAACACUUUUGCUAUUGCUUUCUCAAUGCCUUCCAUGGUUGUUGUGAAGCCUGUCUCCAAAACAAAGCCCUAAAAUUCUUUUAUUUAUGUUGACAUUUGACGUGGGACAUUUGCAACAGCUAAGGCCAGUUGGGAUUAUUUCACACGUUUCCUAUGUCCUGACUGUUUCCAUGUUUGUGGAUAUGCCCAACUGAUGUGUUGACAAAAAGUUCAGAGAACCAUCAGUAAAAUAAGAAAGUAAAAAAGCUAACACUGAAGGGCUUGGAAGCAAGAGCCUUGCUGCCUGGUACAGCACCUGGCAUAGAUCAUACGGUGCUAUACAUUUGAGGCUGGGAUAAGGGGAAGAGAGGACCAAAGGAGGGAGAGAUUGACAACAGAAGGAGAGUUCACAGAGAAAAAGAAACUAGCAUCCCUAAAUUUAUAGCCCAAGGCCUUCAAAGGUCUUUAACUAUUGAAUGAGGGUCAAGGGUCCUAUUGAGGAAAAUAUUAGAUUUACAUAGUAAUCUUUACUUUCAAAUAUGUUUUUGCUUUUUCUGAGAAUAAAUUGUCACUCUUAUCAAUAUUAAUACAUUCAGUAUAUAAUGAACUUUCUGAUGUUUCUAAGAGAAAGCACAGUUGUGUUCUGUCUGUGUAUGUUUCCAUCGCUACUUAGGCCCACUGUGCAGAAGCUGCUGACCAACCCUCCUCGAAAAAGAGCCAUUCUCGUAACCAUCAUAAAGUUUCCUUAGUUAAAACUUCAUGUUGGAUAUUUUUUUCAAUAAAAUUUAAAUUCAGCAUUCAAAAUCCUGGUUCAAAUCUCCUAUGUCAACAAGCUGCUCUUAUGGUUAAUUUUCUUUAUAUUUUUUUACCUAGUUGUACUCAAAAAAAGUAGCCUUGAAAUCUCAAGAGACAUUCAUAUGUCUAUAUUUUUAUAGAUUCUCAACUCAGUGUUUCAGGUAGGAAGUUUGCUUCAUAGAAAAAUCCAGGUGAAUAUUUUUUAAAGGCUACCUGAUCUGACCUCUGCCAUGGAGCUAUGUUGCCGACUGUAAGAGCCAUGAUGUGUAUAUAUAGAUAUGAAUACAGGGCUCACUUCAAGGAGGUAUUGCUAAUGCAUAAUCCAUGUGUACCACAUCCUGAUGGUGUGAAGCAAGCUGGAACCAGUGAACAUGGCAGUCUACGCACACCCUCUGAUUUAUAGGGAGGGCCUCUGAUGAAGCAGUCCCAUUCAUUGGGCAUCCCUGCCUGCUAGUUGAGAUAAGUGAGGAUGAAGUUUCCCAUGAGGCUUUUUAUCUAUAUCCUGCUUUUAAGAAACAAGGAAUAUUUCUGCAGUACCAGUUACUGUAAUAGUAGCAGCUAAACAGCCCCUAAGAGUUCCGAAAAUAAAACUGUGUCCCAAAUGCUUAUCUAUUUAUCACAUGCUGUGUUGAUGUUGGUAAAAUGCAAAGGAUAGGCUUGUUUCCCCUUUAACCCUAAUUUUCUUUGGUCCUUUCAUUUUGACACUAAUUUCAGGCAUGGACCUUGGCACUUAGCUGCAGUGUGUAAUUGUUGGUAUCUCGCUGCCACCUGGGUGCACAAUGGAGAACAAUAUUUAGCCCCUGUGAUUUGCCAUAAGAACACACCACAUGCAGUUGGAAAGGGAAAUAUUUAAUCAGCCAGGUUUCUCCAUGCAUUUCCAAUCAUUUGAGUCCUUUGAAGAUUUUAUUUGCUCUAAAUUAACUGCUUGUUUUGUCAUUGCUCAGGUAAAACCGUUGGAUCCCCCUUGAAUUCAUACUGUAUAAAUUUGGGGACAUUCCAUAUCAAUUUGAAUGUAUAAUCAAAAAGAUAUUUUAAAAUAUGCUAAGUUAAUAAGUCAUUUUGGUCAAAAGAUUUUUUUUCAAAGUUCCUUGAGUCCUCUGUUCUGUUGUGGGCUCUGGACUUAAUAUGUGAAAGGCUCAACGUGACGCACGAAUAAUACCAUUCCAUUUUUAGGCACGUUGUGUGAUGAUGCUGUUGAUCUUUAGAAGAAAUUCCAUUUGGUGACAUUUACAAAAAUAGUUUCACGUUAGCAGCUUUUAAUUUUAAUUUUUAAAAAAUAACCAGAAUGAUAUAACUUGCAAGUGACAAGAAAGUCACCUAGGAAGUGUGUAAACUUACAUAAUGAACACACGAAACAUACCUGGCCUCCCAUCUGAUGUUGUGCUUAUAUGUAGUCCAGGGAUACUGUUUUGACAAGUGGAAAAUGGUAUAAGAGUAGAAUUACCUGUUUAAAUAGGCACAAUAUCAUCUUAAAGAUUGAGAUCUAUUUUUGCAAGGCUGGUGCUUUCAAAGUGCUGGAAAGAUUUGAAUCCAGAGUUUAGUCUUCAUUGUAACUUUAAUCCUGCUAAUAUAGUGCAGUGCCAUGCAAUCCAGUCCACUGCAUUUCACCCAGUUGCUCACUGAAUUUCUAAUAUUUAUGACCAUUUUAACCUCCUGUAUUUCAUUAUGUCUUUAAUGGUUUCACAUUAUAUUUUAUUUUCUUGGUCGGGCAGAUACAAUAGGAAAUGUCAGUACAUAUGGCAAAGAAUCUCUGGUUCUUUACUACAAAACAAAAUACUUUAAAAAGUUCGGAAUUGCUGUGUGGUUCAGGGCAUUUUUUUUUUUCCAUUCCAAGCUAGGUAAAAGAUGGUACAGAAUACGAUCUUUCUAACAAAAUGCUCUCUCUUUUAUCAAUAAUCAUAAUUAUUGUCAUAUAUUUGGGAAGAAUUCAAAUCAUUUAUUUACUCAGUUAUUCAAUUGGCUUUUUUCCCUAAUUAUCUUGUCUGACCAUUGUUGCUAAAGGCACUGUGGAGGAUUUUAUAAAAGGAGAAAAUGUGAUCUUUCCCUCAUCAACUAUGGUAUAAUUGGAGAAAGAAAAAGAACUCUAAAGAACUAAUUGGAUAAUAUAAUAAAAUUACUCUUAGUAAUCACGCUUCAGCACUGUGAAGGGAGAAGCUAUUUUCCCACAGGUGGAAAACAGUAUUAACAAUCAACUAUAGCUUUUUGGCUCAGAAUAUUGUUUCAGAUUAUUUGUUGUGAGAACAAUAAUGAGAACAUUUAGAAUAAAGGCUAGUUCUUGAAAAUAGGUUUUACAAUUUUCAAUUGAUUUCAUCAGCCAAAAAAAAAAAAAAAUUCAUUUCACGAAGACUUAAAAAAAAAUUUAGCCGAAAUAGCUUAGCUGGGAGAGUGUUAGACUGAAAAAAAAUUAACUGUGUUGCAUGGUUAGUCAUUAAUCCAACUGUCCAAAACUUUAAAAUGCCUUAUUUUAAUUGAUGAAUUAUAAUAAAAUACGUGGGUGUUGGGGAGAAGGGGGUGAAGUUUACUCUAUUUCCAAAAACUGUAUUCCUAAAUUAUAUUUCCAGAUAUUGGACACAAAUGUAAAUUGAAAUAUAUUUUUAAAUACUUCAACUUCCUUGCUAUUUUGAGAAGACAGGCUAACACAUUCUAUGAAAUGGAAAACUUUUCAAAGCUGUCUUUAACAACUUCCCUGGAUGUAUAAAGCCCUGCCCAUAGCUUUGCUCUCUUGACAGAAAUGUUACACCAUUCACCCACGUAGAUAAAAACACGAUUCCAGAUAAAACCUAAUGUCAAGUGAAAAACUUUGGGAUUGGUUCAACUUAGUUUCUAUCUCAAAUAUAAAAUUUCACGAUUUUCAGGAAAAACAACUUUUUUUUUGGUAUCUGGAUUAUCAUUUUCCAAAGCCAAAGAUUAGUCAGCCAAAAAUUUUAAAAACUUUACUUAGCAAGCCUUGAAGUGUUUACCUUUAUUUACAUUGACAGCUGUAUUGAAAAGCACAGUAAUAACUUAAGUACUCUUUUAUUUUGAAGAGUUUGUAUUUUGUAGCCAUAGAAGAGCCUGUUUUCUCUGCUCAGGAAAGGGAAGAAUGGGGUAGAAAACUGCACAGCCCAGACCUACCAGACAUUUCCUAUGGACAGUGUAUGGCCUCCACUCAGCAGAAGAAGGCAAAUGUCCUGUUUUAAGAGGCCGGGGUGGGGGACAAAGAACAGAUUCUCCUGGGUCUGCUUGCCUGGGAAUGGACUUAUCCUUGACACGUCAUGGAAGGAUCAGACAGAAGGCUACUUACUGAGACGCACUGGGAAACUAGACAGGAGCAUCCUCUCUAGAAUGUAACAGUUCUCGAUUCUCAGGGUCUUUGGGAAGCAGGGCUCACCACCUACCUGUCUAAACAGGUGCUGAGAGCAGAGACACGACACACCUCCCUGCGACGGACUUGUGAAUGCUUCCACUGCCCCCAAAUAUGGAACCCCCCCAACUGCCGUCUGCUCUGAGCUCCAUUUCGUUUUGACAGCCACUUGCAGUAGGCACUUUUAACUCCAUGCACUGUAAAAGGUAUGGUUGAAAAAUUCUUCAGUAGGAUUUCUCUCUACCCCCCAAGUAGGACCUGGGACAUGAAGAUUAGAGACUUAGAGACAUUUUAUCUAGCCUACCUCUCAAUUUACACAUUUAGGCUCACACCCUUUGAAGAAAAAUCAAACAAACAAAAACCUUGAGAAGGCCAAAGUAUUCUACAUCAGGCAAUAUGGAAAAUGGUGAAAUUUGUGAAUUGCAAAAGAUAAAAGAAAAAUAUUUAGGGAAAAAAGAGAUCAAAUUUUUGUUGAGUUACAGAUUCACCAAUUCUCAGUUUCAUUUUCACUUGCUGGAUCACGAAGCCAUUGUCUUCCCCAAAUGUAAAUUUAGCAUCACACCCCUAAAAGUAAGUACGUUUAGCUUGGGCAUCAUCACUGUGUUCACUUUUUCAGGGGGCAGCACACCUCUUCCAUCCCCGGCAUGCUCACUCUUCAUAAUUUCACUUUGGCAUAACUUGCUCAUUGUCACUCAGUUUUUCCUCUCAAUAAAAUAGCCAAAUUAUUUUGAUGAAUGGUGCUUCUCAUGACCAACACAGCUUUUAAUGUUUCAUCUGGAGAUACUUAAAUGAGAAAUUACUGUAUCAGUGUCCCGGAGCACAGAGCCUUUUCUUGCACCUGUGGUGAAUCCACAUCUUGUUAGUGAUCUACAGGUGUCAGACUUUCAGAUUCAUGUUCAUUUUUUAGACUGUAUUGACCAGUCAUAGUUUUAGUCAUUUUCACAUUUGAGUUUAGUGCUCUGUGAUUUGAGGACCUUGAAUGGUUUUUGCAAGUCUAAUAUUCUAAUAUAUGAAUACACACUUUGGAAGAAAGGGUAAUUGGGACACAGGCAUCUUUGAGUGAGCAUCAGGGUAGCAUUUGGAGAAUCUUCUCAGCUGAUGUCUCCUUUUCUGGUCACUUUGGGGCUCUCAGUUAAGCAGCAGCCUUUGAGGCAGGAAAGAUAGAGUCUUUGAAAUCAAACCAAGUUAGAUCAAAUCCCAGACCUGCUAUUGUCUUGCAUCAACCUCUGUGAAACACAGUUUCUUCCUCUGCAAAAUCAGGAUUAUCACACACACUUUACUAACAUUCCUUGACCAUUUCCUGCUUGCCAGGCCUCAGAGCCACGUGGCUGUAAGGCAAGUACUAUUAUUAUCCAGUUUACAAAUUACCACGCCGAGACUUGGAGAGGUAAAGAAAACGCACUUAAGCAUACGUGUUUGUGAAGUUUCAGGGCCUCUUGUUGGUUCUUUUAUUUCUGUAAAAUUUGUUUUUAGGAAAAGAAAUUCAGGGCCAAAAGGUACGUACAAGAUAAAUUUAGUUAAUUUUCAAAAUGUUACUUAGCGUCAAGCGCCGGAUGGUGGAAAGCGAUGUUAAAGCAGUAACUUGUAUUUCCCCAUGUUGCUGCCUUGCGGACUGAGGCCGUUUGAGAGUGCGCUUUCUAAGGGGUCGUGGAGAGCUGUGGGCUGCUUUGUGCUUUUCUUCGUGAAGAUGGUGGUGGGGCUCUCAUCCUGAUGAGCACAACUCCUUUUCAGUAAAGAGUCUAGAUAAAUGGCUGUUCCAUCGAAUUGAAUGCUAGUCCACAUGGCCAUUGUUAUGCCCUCGAUGAGGAGUGGAUGCCUUUUCCAGAAGAGCUUGACGUUCUCAGGGAGGGGUUUCAUGACCUUGAAGAACUGGCUACCUGUGAUUUGAUUCUUGAUAAAGAAAAAAUGAGAAUUGUUUACUAGAAAUUUAAGACUUUUCUUCUCUUGUGGCUUCGUUUGCUGCCCAUUCCCCAUGUGCAAGACACUGCCAACUUUGGUUUCUUCUCUUGCCUCAUCUGCAGGCUCUUGAAGUCUGUGGGAUGCCCAAGUGUGUAUAGAAACAGGAAAUAGCACAGUCCCUUUGGUUAAGAAUAACACGUCAGUUUUCUUUCCUUGCUUUUGUGUGCUCUCUGGAGCUCACCCAUGCAUGAUGUUCCAGUUGACUUCAAAGACAAGUCUGUGGUUGGAUUAGCUCCACGGGACCGGGAGCAAGGUAAGAACAGGCUUAGUGCUUUCAAAGCCCCCACUGGGGAGCUGAUAGAGCCAAGCUAUGUGGUUACCAGGACAACUCGUUCAUUGUGUCCCCCUGGAAGAACAGGUAAAUUUGCAUAAUGCUUUCUAUAUUAUUGUUACUACUAAAAUUAUUUUUUAAAUGAUGACUGGACAGUACCCUAAAAUGGUUGACUUACAGCUGUAUAAGUCCUGCACUUGGGGAGUUUCGUGCCUAAUAAAGCAGGCAUUAUAAAUUUGGAAUGAGAUAAUACCACUAAAGUUAUGAAGGUAUAAAACAUGCAAAUCAUAGGAUGAUUUUAGGUUUUAAAAAAGGAAGGGCAUAGCAAGUUGUGUGGGCUUGAGACAUUGCAUCUUAGGUAUGUUCAUUUCCCAGACAUUGCCAGCCAAAGUAAUCUUUCUUACAGAAGACUAAAACCAGGCAUUUCUGAGGGAAGGAAGGAAAAAGGCUGGACGUCUUGAAGGCAUCAUCAGAACCUUACUUUGGGAGAAGGCUUAGUAAUGAAAGAGGAAUGGUUGGAAGCCCUGGGCAUGGAGGUGACUUGCUGGAGGAGAAUAUGGUAGACUGGAGAGGGUUAAGAGACAGAGCAGAUAGGGCAAAGUGAGCUUUCCCCAUGGACUGUGAACCUAGAAGAGCCUGCAGGAUAAAGUGUCAAUGAGGAGGAAGUGGAAGUGAUGGGGUCCAUGGGAAAAUAAAGGAAGCAGCCCCAGUGUUCUACUGUGUGGUUAUUGACCAUAGGCUUUCUUAGGAAGUUUCAGAGCCAUGUAAAGGCAGAUGGAAAGUCUUAAUUUUCAGAAAUCAGAGGACCAGACAGAAGAGGCCACAAUAAUUCAGGUGAAUGACUGCCAGGUCCUUCCCUGAGACUGUAGGUGUGAGGUGAGGGGAAAAAAAAAAAAAGCCAUAAAGUUAAUAGAUGCGAAGGAAAUAAUCAACAGAAAAGCAACAGCCUUGACAAAACCCAACACCGUGGAAGAAGGACUCAGAAACAGUAAGGGAUAGGAAGGAAUUAAAAAUUGUUUGAAGGUUUUUGCUUAUUUGAUGGAGGAAUUACAGGUAGAGCCAGACUCAGUGAGGGUAUAGAGUAAAUUCUAGACAGAGGACCAAACAUACUCAUUGCAUGGUUUUCCUUCUGAAUCUGGAAUGAAGAAAGAGAAAAAGGCUGUUUCUUUACACUUUGAUUUAUACCAUUCAUUUUAAAUCCAGGAUCACAGAGUAUUAACAUCUACUAACAUGUGGAAGUUACAUGAAGCUAAAAGCACCUUUUAAUCCCCUGGCUCCCACACGCUGGAGUUCUUUGAGCCCAUUUCAUUCAGCAUUGUUUCGGGAGACACGGCGGAGAGAAACUGCUGUCUGUGUGGUAACCAAAGGCAGAGACUUUGUAUUACUGAACCUCAGAUUGAAUCUUGACUGUGGUUCUGUUCUAGUGAAUAGAGCAGAAACAGAAAUGAAUCACUUGUCUCCAGAAAUUGUCAUUCUGACUUUGCUUUUGGAGACACUGGCAUGUGUACUGUGGCUGGAACAAUUCUGCUUUGAUUUGUUGUCAAAUACUUGAUAUUGGCCUUUGAAAGAGAAGGAAAAUAUUGUGUGAUUCAAAUGGGCUUUUCAUUUGAAAAAAGAAGACUGUGGAUAAACUCUCUCUUCUAAUUAUUACCAGUAGGUAUUCCUCUCCCGAGAUAUAUGCCAUCAUUUUAUGACCUUGGAACUGCUCAAUAUUUGUUUCAGCAUUCACAGAGCAUUUUUUUUUUUGUCUUUUUAGGGCCCCACCUGCAGCAUAUGGAGGUUCCCAGGCUAGGGGUCGAAUUGGCGCUGUCGCCGCCAGCCUACGCCACAGCCACAGCAACGCUUUAACCCGCUGAGCAAGGCCAGGGAUUGAACCUGCAUCCUCAUGGAUACUAGACAGAUUCUUUCUGCUGUGCCACAAUGGGAACUCUUCACAGAGCAUUUUUGUAUAUAAUAUCCUAAAUCUUAGGAAAUAUAACAGGAGUUUUAGUCUAGCUGGAAAUUCUGGAAGAGAAAAUUAUCAGGUAGAAGCCCCUCAUGUCAAAGUUACUAUGAAGGCUGAACCUGGAGGAAGGAUUUUGAAGGUCAAGAAGGCUAGGUAGUGACAAAGCCAGGAGAAUUUCAAUUCUCUUUGUAUCCAGAUGAGCCUCUUUUUACGCCCUGCUGUCCCUUCCAAGUGUAGGAGAUUCUAAAUGGUUAAAAACUAGUUGCACAUAUAAUUGCCACUGACCAGUAAAUCAUAUCUCACAUUUGAUGUCUCCUAAUGUGACCACACACCUUAUCACAAAAGCAUUAUUCCAAAACAAAGCAUAAGCACUCAAGUCAUGAUUGAUAGGGUUUAAAUAGGAAUUAAGGAAGAUUUAAAAAAAAAAAAAAACUAAUUAUUUAAGAAAAAAAUCAUAUUUUCUCUGAUUUCCUCAGGAGAUAUAGUAAGAGAGUUAGGGGUCUACCGCUAUGUCAUUCCAUGUUUGCUCGCUCAAGAGCCCGCCCUCUUAGGAUGAGGGCUGAUUGCCCAGAAAGUUUGUCAAAUGUAAACGUGGUCGAAGAGUAGAAAGGCCAGAGGAAGAGAAAGGAAGGGGGAUGGAGCAGCCGUUGACCAAGCCCCAGCUGAGCUUGCCGUGGUCUGGGUGGCCCAGACUCAGACAUGGAGGGUCAUCUCUUCAGGCGUCUUUUCCUGUCCUAAAAGUGCUCUCCUUGCUUUUGGUCCCUGUCCGUCUUCAUUCCCAUCUCUCUCCUCCCCAUCCUACUCAAACCUCUUGAAAAUUUGGUCUGGAUGUGCUUUGCACCCUGCCUUGUCUCCACUUUAGAGUUCCCAGUCUCUGAUACCUUCUUUCACUUCCCAACUGAGCGAAUGGUUCUUGGAUUGCUAAAUCCAGUGGGUUUGGGAGUCUUUCCUGGACCUCUCUGUGCUCUCGGCCCCACUGAUCGCUCCCUCCUCCUUCAAGUUCGCUGCUCUCCUGUCUUCCAGGCAUCAUACUCGCCCUGAUCAUCCUCCUCUACGUCUCUUCUCUGUCUCUUUCAUGGCCUUCUCGUCUUCCUCUUCCCCAGGGGUCAUCCUCAGCCCAUUGCUUUUCUCACCCCCUACGCUUUCUUUUUGCACAUUCGUCCAUUGUCACAGUUUACAAUUGCUCAUAAAUUUUAAAUGCAGUUUGAAUCUCCUUCCUGCAGUUCAGAUUCAAAUAUCCAACAUCCUGAACGGCCCAUCAGGCACCCAACCCAGCAUGUAUUAACCUGUUGUUGUUUAAACAACCUCCUCAUUGUUCCCAUAACCUGGUUUUUCCAUCCGUGCUCUCUGCAGAGUUUUGGGGAACUGCUAUCACCUCAUUCGCCCAAACUGCAAACCCAAGGGUAGUUUUUGGCUUCUCAUGUCCCACUUCUGUUGUUUUUCACAUCAAACCCAUUACCAGGACCUGCUAAUCCUCCAUUCUAAAUAGUUCUUGAACCCAACUCUACUGCUCAUCAUUAAUACCGUUAUAGCUCAGACCUGCUGCCACUUGCUGUGUCCUGCUAGGUCAUCUGCAGCAUUUGAAUGGCCUUUCCUACACCAACCUUGUCACCAUCGAAUCCAUCUUACAUAUAACCCAAAGUCAACCUGCCACUUGCAAGCUUAAAGCCCUCUUGUGUUUUCCUGCCCUGCUGGAUAAAUCCCCAAAUAGUCCUAUCUUAAAUUCUACCCUUAAAAUGCUACUUCCUGCCUCUCUCUAGUCUUAUCUCUAACAAUUUCCUGUUUUAAACGGCUGUCCAGCAGCACACAAGAGCUGGGGAGUCCACAUAUAAUCCAUAUCAUUUCUUUGCUUUUGCAGACUCCCCAGCCUCUAAGUCUCUCCUCCUCUUCCCUGGUCACUCUUCAUCUUCCUAUAGGCAACACAAGUGUGUCCCCUCCUCCAAGAACCUUUCCUUUAUGUGUCUUGUCCAUCCUUCAUCCCAACUGUCCUUAUCAAUACUCCGUGCAUACUCCAGUGAUUGAAUUAACUGUCAUUUUCUAAUUUGUAUUUUCGUGAGCUGUACGGCCCACUGAUAGCUGUUAACAGCUUGUUAGCUACUUAUUUCCUUCACUAAAUUCGGAUGUCUUUGGGAAAGAAUUUGGUACAGACAUAGAACAACCUUUGUUAGUUCCACUGCUGACAGUUGAGUUAGGAGGCUGUCCGUGUGUGUGUGUGUGUGUGUGUGAGUGUGUGUGUGUAUAAAAGGAUAUAUACAUAUAUAUAAUAUAUAUAUAAUAUAGUGUUUUUAAUCUUGCCUUUCCUUCGAAACAGUAACUGAGUCGCAAAUAUACAGGUGUCUUUACCCUCUCUCACAACAUCCACAGUUCACCUAUAUUUUACCACCAAAAAGAAGCUGAAAUUUAAAAAGAAAUUUAAAAAGAAAUUUAAAAAGUUGUUGGCUUGCACGGAACACCACGUAUCAUGUAGAAAUAUCACAAGAGUCUUUUUUUCUCAAUUUCCAGAUCAACCCUUUUAACUUUUAUGGUAUUUCUUCUCUGAUUUUUUUUUUUAAACACUUAAAGGGAUAUUUUAUGUGACCUUUAUUCAGUCACAUGCCUAAAACAUGGAUUUUCAGUUACCAUGUCAGAGAAAUCAUUUUAAAGCUUUAUUUGUCCGUAUUUCAGAUAUAUGAUUUUUCAUACCAAGAGGUAAUUAUGCUGAGCUUUGCUGUCCCCCAAAAUAUGGCAAAUGCUGUUUUCUCAGGCAGAAGAAGUGAGGUUUAUUUUUUGUUAAUGAAGUGCCAGACAAGCUGAGCCAACUUGCCCGGCAUGAUUAAAUUGGAGCAUCUUUGGCAGUUAGCAGAGUAGCUCUAUCCAUGCGAAUGUUUUGUAAAAAUUUAUCUUAAGCAAUUUUUUUUUUUUUUUUUGCCAGAUUCUUUUCAGGAUAAAGUUGAGACAUUCAGCAAUUGGGGCAGUUUUCACAACAUCAUAAACAUUUCUAAAGACUGGUCAAAUAAGUUCUAUUAUUGUCUUAAUUAUUCAGCUCCAGUCUUUCUUCCCCUCCCCCCACCUCCCCCAGAGGCACCAGAGCUUCAGCAUUUGUCCCAUAUGGGUGUGAAGGAAGUGGCAGAGUUCAGAUUUAGAAGCAUGGCUUGUAAAGUCACUUCAUUUCCAAUUUACAUUUCCUCUACUUAUGCUUUAUAAUGCUAUUUGUUCACUAUCUUUUUUUUUUGUUCUUCCUGGUAUCAGAGAGAGAACAAACACACAUUUCUUAAGAAUUCACUCUUAGAAUAUCCUACAGAAAUAGAUUCCCGAAAAAAAACACACCAAAAGUGGAAAAAUAGACAAAUGGGUACAUUCUGUGUUUUAAACAUACCAUCCAAUUUUAUUUAAUAUGUUUUCUAUUGUGUCGACUCACCUCUUCUGUCGUAGCUCAAAAGCAGCCAUAGGGGAGCAGUGACUUUGUUCCGGGGAAACUUGAUUUACACGAAUAGGUGGCAGGCUGGACUUGGCCCGCGGGUCAUAGUCUGCCACCUCUCUGUUUAACUCAUCACUUCUAUUAGUGUUAUUUUUUAAAGUCAUAGACAUAAAGAUUAAUCCUUACUUCAGUAAUGAAUAAAAAUUUAGGUUAUAUCAAAGACAAACAGGAAUUCUUCAAAGCUGUUAAAAAGGAUUCAUUUUUAAGGUUUUUUUUUUAGAAUUGAAGUUAUGGCUUUCACAAUGGUCAGUUUCUUGAGGAGAGUGAAUAGAUAAUUCAUCAUAGGCUCCCACCUUGACCAGAGCUCGUGGUAGAGGCGUAUUUUAACACCAACAUGUGAUUAAGGCCAACUCCUAAGUCAAGUUGCUCAUAUUGUAGACAAACUAUGAGACCCAAUUUUUAAGAUUCUUUGUUCUUUGUGCUCUGUUACUUCAAAGGAUCCCAGAGUAGCUGCAUUGAUAAUGGGAUAAAGAAUGGAGCCUUUGGCAGUGAGGAAGCUUUAUGUGCUUCCCCCGAGGCUGUGUUCUAAAGCUUGUGGGGUCUUCUGUGGUAAGCAUGUAGGGAUAGGUUUGUGAUAAGUAAGAUAUGUGUUCUUUCACUAGUGCUUCAAAUCUGUUUCGUUACAAACAGGAAGAAAAACACUUCUGGCUGUGAACAUGGGCUGACGGUGGAUUUACUAGUAUUUUCGACUCCUUAGAUUUGAGGUUAUCAUGGACUAGUGUCCUGGGUGAAGCUUUGAAAGUACUCGUGACCUGUAAAUGGCCAUAUGUUGGAAAAGGUGCUACUUGGCAAUUAAAAACAUCUCUUCUGUGGAACUCUGUGACCACCACAGUAGGCUCCAUUACAGAGUACCCGAAAUAUAUAUCUUAACCAUUCCAGGCUAGCGGGUGUAAAUCUCCCUCGUUCUUUUAUGGAAGUACUGCCCGUUAUAAAACCACUUUAUGCUUUUCUUCCCCCCGCCCCCCAUAAACACUGUGCGGUGCUUACGGUAGUAUUCCAAAGAUGCUUAUGGUAAUUAAUUAAGGAGGUGAAAAACAUCCUUCCCAUGGCGGGGAAAUGAAUAUCAACUUUUAUUAAUCUAGUUUUAAUUGGUUCGAGGAUGAUUGCGGAUAGCCUUGUGCCAAAUGUGUCCUUGAUUCUUACUGUGGCAUAUUUUUUGCAUAACUGUGCGUUUAUAAUUACACAGCUAUAAGGGCCCAUGCCUGCACACACGCACAUGCACAUAUGCAGAUUAAUUAAUUUCAAGGAGACAAUUCCGAUGGCCACGCUCAGAAUGGAGAUCAUUAUGGCAUAUGUCUGCCUCUUGUGACAGGGGCGUCCUAACAGAUAGAGUUGAGCCUCAGAAUAGUCUACCAUCCUACAAUAAUUGCUGUAUGCUUUUAGCCCCAUUAAAAAAGCGCAUCUUUAACCUUCUGUAAGAAACAUCUAUACCUUACUAUUCAGAGACAGCUAUUUUUAAAGUUUCCAAAUUCACUUACAGCUGUUCUCUGCAAGGUCUUCCCGUCUAGUCCAGCAGCGUCCAACUGUGUCCAAACCAAAGGAAACACGAAGAGACUCUCUGUCCCUCACGGUGGCUGAGAGAUGAGUUAAGAAAGCAAGAAUUGGAUGAUGGGGGAGUAAACGUGCCAUCAUUUGAAAAAGAACUCUUUUCCUUUAAGCUAUAUAUAACUUAUCCAUUGUAAACUGAGUAAGGCUGUUAAUAGUAAUGAUUAAAACAACAACUGACCCUACAUUUGUCUGUGCCAGUAACCUACAAAGUCUUCCUCAAACUUGAAUUCACUUCAUCUUUUUGACAGUCCUAUCAAUUAGGACAGAGCUGAUUAUUUCCUCCCUAUUCCCACCUCUGCAGUUACUUCCAGCUGCUCUUUCCAAACCUGGUGCCCCAGAUUUGGAGUAGACCUCUCGCCUUGAACACCGCCAGGAGGCAUUGUGUUUGGGCAACAUGUUUGGUGAUCCAUUAUGAGGCUGAAGCACUACCUACUGCGCUACUGAGUCACCUAGCUGAUACCUUAGAAUGUGGAAAUUUCUGCUGUGGCAAGAUCUCCUUAGAGAGAACUCAAGUCAAUAAAAAGUGCAGAUCAGAUAUCUUAGAAUUAUCAGGGUGAUGCUACUUUUUUUGACAUAGAGACAUGUGACAGUAUUAGAAAUGAGCAGCAUGGAUUAAUUCCUAAAAUUUCUUCUCAGUUAUAGAGUCAUUUAAGUUUCCUCCAUCUCUCCAGUAAAUUAGCCACGGAUAAUCAUAAUUAUGACCCUUAGGUGUGAUAAGACAGUGAAAUGCCUCCUGAAUUAUUAAGAAGUGUUCACUUCUGUCUACCUUGUAUGUCAUUAUCACUUCUUAAAAAUCGGUCACCUGUAUAUAUGAUAUAUACAUAAAAUUAAAUUUUAGUAAUGGUAAUAUUUUUUAGAAGAAAGCCCUGUUCCCAGUGUUGAAUAAACAUGAUUAUAUUUUAUGUGGAUGUUCCCCCUAGAUUUCUGUUUGUUGUCCAUGACUUCUUUGCUCAUUCAGCAUAGGUUAUUUGAGAAGAUAUAAUGCUGAGCAUUUGUAUGAUGCUUUAUUAUGAACCAUUGCAUUCGUUGUCAUAUACCCUGUCCAAUUUAUUCUGUUAGCUUCUGGAGGUAUUAUUACUAGUGUUUUAUGAAGUAAGCCGUGGGGAGUGUAAGUGGUUUGCUCAAAGCCACGUGGCUAAUACGUGGUAGAGAGGAAAUCCAAUCCCAUCUGUCCAAGUCAAGAGUUUUUUCCAUAAGCCACAGCCAUCUCAGAAACUCAUCUUCCAGAAUCGUGUUGUUGGGAAGUUCCAGCCAGCUUGGGACUCUCUACUUGUAAACCCAUCUAGCGGAGUUUUUUUCCUAGAGCCCAUCAGAGGAGCUAAUAUCAACCAACAAACCUGACAUUCAGAAAAUGUGUUGUAAUCCUGAUUAUCAAUGCAAAGGGAUAAUGUCCCCAACAUUAGAUUGCAUUCCACCUGCCUGGAGAGGUACAUAGAAUGCAUCGUUUUGCAGAGAGACGACUUUAUUUAUCAAACAAUACGACCAAGACUGUGCUAAAGAGGACCCUUUGUAACAGCUUUUUACCAUAUCUGAGAACAGUAAGCUUUGAAAAGAACUAUGGAUGUGGGCAUUCUCCAUUUACCUUCGACACAAAACAGAUUUUCUGCCUUUGAUGAAAAGAACAGGCAGUGCCCAUUCUAAAGAGAGAGUAUGAAAUAAGAGCUCUGAAUGCAAGGUUUUAUCGUCACAUCCUGGUUUUAUUAUUUUUUUUUCCAUUCUAAUCAGAAACCUGCUUUAAAACAAGCUGCCCUGAUAUUAAUAAGUGACAGAGAAAAGUCACUGCCUUGAACUUGCUCACAUGAAAAGUGGCACAAGAAGGCGAGGGACACAUUAGAGGAAGAAGUGCCUUCUCCAUUAAUAAUUAUCUAUAAGGAACAAACAGUGCCUGGAGGUAGGGCUGGAUCCAGAGAAAUAGAACUCGGAAACAUUAGGGCAGGCCUCUGCUUUUUCAGGGGAUACAGCUGAUGCUGAAUGCAAAUUUACAACUAGAACAGAGCUGCUAACAAAGUCUUUCUACACUCACCCAUUCUGGAACAGUAAGGAGAAACAUCUCCUGUUUUUAUUAGGCUCCUUCUAAUUACUUCUGACGUGUCAGUAUAUAUUGGGGAUAGAGAGAAGAGGGAAAGAUUGGGGGGAACCUUUUUUAAUGUGAUGUCAGUCUUUAAAGAAUUGAAUGAGUCGCCCCAGAAAUGAUCUUCUGUAAGCAUGACACUGCCACUUAAUAAAGCAACAGAGAAAAUAUUGAAAGGAAUGCUGUCAACAUUCUGGGACUGGUGUAAUUUUGAACAAUCAAGCAUAAUGGCAAGAUCAAGUUUGAUGCCAUGCUGUACAGCUUGCAAUUCUGUGAAAUUAUAAAACUUGUGAACGGAAGGGAUGGAGAAGUACGUAACCGCCGGAUGGAGGUAAGGAUACGGGAAGCCUGAGAUUCCAGUGGGGUCGCGUCUGACCUUACUGAUGUGCGGAGUGUUCUCUUGAGUCAAGGUAACAGAGGGGAAACAGUCAAGGUUUCCAAAGGAAAGAAUUUCCAGUUUCAUAACAGGAAAAGUUUUUGCAUUUGGAACAUCUGAGAAGUGUUGUCUCAUUAAAAUUUAUGAUCAGAAUUAAUUCUCAUUCUGCUAAGAACCAAAUCACCUGGGUUGAAUCUGGAUGUGGGAUCAUAUAAAAAGGAUAAUGAGAAAUGACAGUGAGGACCACUCAGCAGAUCUGAGCUUUCUCUUUUUCCUUUUUUAUUGUUUUAAACUUUCCAUAUGAUGUUUGGAGGUUAUAUGGUGUUGGAAAGUCAAUAUCCUUGGUUGGCAUUAUUAUACAGUAUGAAAUAAGUAGGAUCCUUUUUCAAAAUCACUCAGGUUAAAUGAUUUAAAUGGCCUUAAAUGAGACCCAAAUAUGUAGCCAUAAGGAGAUACAACACUGCUGCAAGAUAAUGAGAAUUUAUUUAUUUUGUGCCUGGCACAGUGUCUCUGCUGACUUAAGGAUGCUCACAUAUAGAAAAACUAAAUAAGCAUGGGAUAACUUGCCCACGGGGUUGUUGAAACAGUCCAUUUCCUUUGCUCUGAAUGGCUCCUCAUCGCAAGUAAGAAACCAGAUUUAUGCUCUUUGGCUCCCCAUCACCCCUGUUCUCUACAUCCUCUUGGUGGCAGAAGGCUGAGUACUGCAUCUCCUCUUUAUGCCUUUAUUGUUGCAUAGAUAAUUCCAGCUAAGGAUAUUUACAUCUCUUGCCGGUAUUGUUUCUCGGUCUUUCCAUUUUCCUUGGAAUAAUUGAAUUGCUAUCAGAGAAUCUAUUUCUCCUCUGACACUUCAGCCCCUUCCUUGACCUCCAUGAGUUCUAAUCCUAAAAUUGCCCCCCUCUCAAUGAUACUUUAGGCGGGUGUCUAUUUCUGGGACACACCAUGCCUAUCUGGAGAACUGUAGGCCAAUUCUUGCUACAUUCUCAUUUCAGAAUGAGAGUCUGGUGGUCUUUGUGUUUGUAAGUCCAAGCCUUCUGGAGGUUGAUGGUGGUGCACUUUCACAGGCGCAAGUGUGGCAUUAAAUUUAAGACUUAUAUUUGCCUCACCAUUACUUUUUCUGUCUUCUCACUCUCUCUCUCUUUUGUCUUUUUAGGGCCGCACCUGGGGCAUUUGGGUGUUCCCAGGCUAGGGGUCGAACUGUCACCUGUGCCACGGCCAUAGCAACGCCACAUCGGAGCUGUAUCUUCAACCUACAGCAAUGCUGGAUCCUUAACCCACUGAGUGAGGUCCAGGAUCAAACCCACAUCCUUAAGGGUACUAAUCAGAUCCGUUACACACAAUGGGAACUCCUCUGUCUACUCUAUAUACCCGAUGAGGCUACACACUGACCCCUUUAUUCAAAAUUUUAAUUCUAGACUAGGUAUACGCCAAUACUUUCUUCCUCUCAGGAUUACCAAAGAGGAUCCCGUGUCUGAGACACUGGUAAAGGAGGCAAAUGUUCCCUUCCUCACUGCCCACCUCUUGGGUACCAGCCAGUGAUUCCCAAGUCCAUUGGUGCCUGGACCACAGAAAGGCAAUUUAGUGCAUCCUGGGAAUAUCCCAACAAAAGUGGGAGCUUUACCUAGAAUAGCUUCUCAUGUUUCUCAUUUGGGGCCUCCAGGCUUCUAGCUCUCUCUCUCUCUCUCUGGUGACCGAGUCCAUUUUAGAACUGAAAGGAGAAAGGUGUCAGUCUGUUCCUUUUUCUUUGUAUAAUACUUACUGAAGAGCACAAUGCUAGUGGGCAUUCAGCACGUCAUCUUCUAGUACCUACAUUACUUUCUCUUUGCGAUGGAAAUUUCAAUUUUAGGUUCCUAAGUAGCCAUUUCUAAGUCUCCUUUUGGCUUCAAAGAGUUGGAACUUAAGCAUUAGCCUAAGCUUCUAGAAGAUAAAGAAAGGAAGGGAGCAGAGAGAAAAGACAAGCUGAGAGUGUGGACAGUUUUAUGGCUGCUGAAUCGUGCAAGUUAAAUCACAUCUCUGCUGUCUGGGUCAAUUUCUGUUCAGUAACUCUGCAGAGAAAUCUGGAUUAUGAUCUAAUCAAGCAAGAGUUAAGCAAGCCGUCCUUUUAUGUAACUUAAAACCUAACCAUAUAGAAAAUCUACUCUUGACUUUUGAGCUGAGUGUCUGACAACAUUGUAAGCACUUAUUUUUAUUUAAGAUAGUUCUGUCGUGUUUUGUAAUUUGCCUGUGCUCUCACCAAAUAGAGGGGGAUGGAAUUAUUUGUAGAGCUAUGUCACAGUGAAUUUUAAAAGCCAAAUUGUCCCUGGGCUGAAAGAAUUUCCUGUGACCACAACCAAUUUUCCUAAAAUCUGUAUUAGUGCUUUUACACUGAAAUGGCAGAAUUUGGAUUGUUAGUGCUUAGUUGCAGUUCAGGUAGUCUAUUCUAGGUGAACUAAAUGUAAAUAAGAACAGCGUAUAUUUAUUGAGUGCUUGCUGUGUGCCAUGCACUACAUCAAGGAUUUUAUGGGGAUUAAUUUACUUAAUCUUCACAACCCUAAAAUGUCGGAUCAUUUUUUCUUCCUAUUUUAUAGAUGAGGAAAUUAAGUUGUGGAGAGAUGAAUCACGUGUCCCACUUGCAAAAGGUAGUGUUAGGAUUUGACCUCAGGAGGCCUGACUCCAUUAGGCUGCAGUUCGUUCGGUACCUGCUCUACACAGAGACCCUAUUUAAUAAUGUCUGUUCUUGCAGUUCCUUUCUGACUUGAGAUUUUCCACAUUCAGUGAGCAUCUUCAAGAAUUUAAGUUUUAAAGGAGUAAAUGGUAUCCCCAAAAUGACGAUCAAUGGGAAUCUGUUUUGCAUUUGAGUACAUGGAACUUGUUGGAAAGAAGGAGAUGCUAGGAGCAAAGUAGAAGAAGCAGAUACGUGAGCCUAGAGCCCAGAGCAGUUCGUAGGAUAAAGCUUUAGUUCCAGGCAUAUUAAUUCCACUUAUAUGGAAAGAGCCAAUGUAAAGAACUCAUGUCUUGAUAUAAAUCUCUAUCCAUAAUGACAUUUGUUUUGUAACCAUGCUGGGCAAGGAGAAUAGAAGCAGUGAAAAGGACUCGGGAGCAAGACUGCCUGGAUUCAAAUCCUAGCUCUACCACGUCCUAAACAUGUGGUCCAGGGUCAGUGCCUAGAUGCCUCUGAGAGACUCUGUUUCCUUAUCUGUGAAAGAGAGAUAAUGGUACCUACCUUACAGAGUUGUCAUGGGGGUUGAAUGAGUUCAUAUACAUGAAGGAUUUAGAACAGCGCCUGGCCCAUAGUAAGUACCCUGCUGUGAGAGUGUUUGCUCUAUUAUCAUCACACCACCAUCACCAUUAUCAUCACAGGGUGCUCAAACAUGAUAAGGCAAGGAUAUCAACAGGUGUUUUAUAUUUAGACAUUCCUGGGGCUUUCGUAUAGGAAAAGAAGAUUCUAGAUUCGGUUGAUCUUAGGUAGCAUUUGCUAUAUAAAGUGACUCAAAUCACCUGGAUUUAUUUUGGUUUUAGAAUUUGAGUCAUAAUUUAUAUGUUAGCCAACAAAUGUGUUGCCAUACCUCAGUCUGAGGGUGGGAUUUUGCUCCCAGCAAAAGGGGCUUUAGCAGCCACAUCGAAUGAUUAUUAAGCAGAGAGAUUAAGCCCUAUCCUCAAAAAUCUGAAGCUGGAAGUGGCAAAAAAUGAGAGCUAAUCCUACCUGCAUUUGGGAAAGUGGGGUUUGGAACUUAUGUAGCAUAGCAAAUCAACAUAACUGAUUUAUUUUGGGAUAACGUCAGGAGAGGUAAAAUGUGGCUUAUAGAGCACAGUUCUGAUAGAGUUCCACAAAUUUAAAUGUUUAUCCCUCCUUUCUUAAAAGAAUUGGAACGGAUGCUCUCUGACACCCUUUGAAGGCAUCUGUUGGGGUGAGAGAGGCUUUCUUCCUUCAAGGCAAUUUGGUCCAACUCUGCCCACUCACUGAUGGGGGGGGGGUCCUGGCCAAAUUCCAAAUGUGAUUAGUGUUGUAACUAUUAUUUCACAGGGUGGAGUGUGUUUGGGUGGAUGGAGGGGGAAGCCUAUAAUUUCAGAGUUGUUAGGGGAACAUUUCUGCUAAACCUCUUUUUAGUCCAAAAAUUGAUGAAAAGAUCUCAAUGUUCAAGAUAAUUUGAGGGCAUUAUACUGUCCCCAGAAUAGAAUGCACCCACGUUGUUACUGAAUCUUGAUGGUGCAGGUUGGAAGAGUGUAAAUAUUUCCUCCAGAACAUUGAUAACCAUUUUGACCCAUUUUUUGGUGAGGUCGAAAUCAUCUUUUUAAUUAUUUGAACUCUGAGAAUCACUCCACGUAAACAUAAAAUCAGAGGUAGAAGCUUAACAUAGACCAGUUAAGAAAAAGUAUUGCAUUUAUUUAUUUAUUUGGCCCUGACCGCAGCCUUUGGAAGUUCCCGGGCCAGGGAUCAGACCCUUGCCACAGCAGCAACCCAAGCCACUGCAGUGACAACACUGGAUCCCUAACCUGCUGCACCACAGAAGAAGCCCCAAGUAUUCCAUUUUUAAAUCAUGCCACCAUUUUCCUAUUUAGGAAGAAUAUGACUUAGGUUAAACUGAAUGCUAUCGAUUAUUUCAGUACCCAUAUUCAUCAUUGCCUGUGAAGUGUAAGCAUUUUUAUUUUUUAUAGGUUAUUUGAAUUACAUUCUAAAUGACUACCAUGUAAAUAAAUUAGGACAACAAUCAUGCCAUGCUUUUUUGUCGUCAUGGGUCAUUUUCGUCAAAUGCUGAGUAAUUUCAUUGCACUUGUGUAAUUAGGUGAAGAAGCUCCCCCCCCCAAGCAUCCAUGGGUCAGCUAUGUGGACUCUAGCUGCCAAAGGCGCUUCUCCUUCUGAACAGAGCGCUUUGCUCAGCCAGUGUAGACAUGGCCUGAUACACAAUGGAACUUCUCCCUUGAGAACUGGAGUUUGGACCGAUCUAAUUCUUUAACUCAAAAAUGUGCACAGGUUUGAUGAGCAGUUAAAAUGCCUACAUUUUAGCAAAAUGGGCGUUUCAAUUGACAGUAAUGUUAAGAAUAGCAUUAAUUUAUAAUGAACUUGAAAGGCAGUAGCACUCACGGUUUCACAAGCUAAUCAAGGGACUAUCACAUCGAGGUUUUAACGUGAGCUUAAAUAGCUGUGGCAGGGAGGUUGUUCUUGCAGGUUUAUAUCUGUCAGGUCUUAACACUAAACCUGUCAGAGUGCACCACGGCCGUGUCACUUUUAACCAAGAUGUCACAUGUCACAUACAUUGUGGGAAACAACCUGCUUUGUGUUUUCUCUCCUCUAGGAUUUUAAGAGGAAAAGCAAAUGUACAAGGAAUUUUUUUUUUAACACUGCAUUUUUAUUUUGCAGAUUCUUGGGCUGAUGGAGUAAGUGAGUGACGGAGUGGGUUGCCAACUGUAGUUACUCCACUCAAUGCGGAAUGGCUGCAGGGAAUAUAUUCUGAUGUGCCCAAAGAAGUCUGCCCAGGGUGAAACAAAUACCUUUGAGGUUUAAAUCAGAAAACAUAAACACAUUUCCCUUAUAGGAAGAAGUUGUAUUUAAAAGCCUCUGUUUAAUUUAUUCAGAAACUACACGAUUUUUGUUGCUAUAUUUUGUUAUAAAGGAAGAGAGGCUGUUUCUACAGGUGUCAUAGAAAAGUCGAUGCUGAGCCAUGGAUUAUUGGAUCUCAUAGAACCACGGAGACUUGGCAGUAAAAUCCUUCCAAAGGCAGACGGUGUUCCUAGGUUUGGAAACGUACCUCCCAGGGGAAGUGAGCUGAGGAACAUUUUAUGCAUCAUUCAUCCGGUUAUGAGCCCUUGCUGCUCCAUCUCUGCACAAGAUGUUGAAACAACAGCAACAACAAAAAUUGUUUAUAAUGUGUAUUCUAACUUUGGAUCAUCUGGUUAACGCCCUGAUGCUAUUACCCAGAAAGACAAUGCUCUGUCAGAAAAAACCAUUAAAGCUCGCUGCUGCGUGAUUAGUAAAAUAAUAGGGAAAGUUCAGCAUUCUGGAUGUCCCAUCUAAUGAGUUGGCAGUUACAGAACAGAAACAGAGCAAUAAGACCGCAUGGUUACAUUUUCCCAGUGCCACCAACUGGGAGUUAAGCUGACUAACAUUUCGAAAGCCCAGCCCAUUUCAUUCACAGCAGGCAUGGCAGGAGUUAACUAGGGAGGAGACUGUCAUUGUCAUUGGAUUGCACAUUUGCAUUUUAUUUCAGGACUGAGAAAUACAGGUGCUGCUCAGCAAGGUAAGAUGAGAGGGAUGAAAAUUAUAACUUGGUUGCACACAUGUGUAUAUGGUUUAAGGUUCAUUGUCAUGUCAUUGUGUGAAGUCCACAGUGGUAAAUAGCCUUUGUACUCCGAGUAACUUCAGAGCCUGUCAGAAAUGUGGGGUGUCAGGCCCACCCUAAACCUACUGAAUCAAAAUCUGAAUCUUAAAAAGAUCCCAAGGGAAUUACAUUAUCAUGAAAGUUUGAGAAGUGCUAGUGUAUAGAAUAAGUAUUACCAAUUCCUAUACAGACUGUAUCCAUUUCAGGGAUAAUAUUUGCUUGACAUUUGCUGCCAAGGACAGUUGACAGGUGAAAAGAACCAACAGUUUUUCAUAUCCUAGAGCUGCAGUUGACCGUCUAAUGGUGUUUGGAAUUGAUGAUGAUGACUGUGCUGCUGCUGUUGAUUAGAGCACCAUUAUCCAGUGCUCCCAAGUCAUGGCUUUUGUGUCUAGGACCUCAGGUAACCCAUUUAACCAUUUUUUUUUUUAACCCUAAUCAGCUGGAUGCCUUUUUACAGAUGCCACAGUAGAGGCCAAAGAUUGCCUAAGGUCACCAAGCAUCUGAUGGCUAACAUCUGUGAUUGGUAGUCUCACCUUUUAAAAGUUAAAAAAAAAAAAGCCUUAUUUGUUUCAAAUAGGGAGAAAACUUGCCACUUGAAAGAUUCCUAAGAAGGGAUCAAUGAACAUUUGUUUAGAUAAUUAACAGUGACUUCUCAUUUUUCUAAUUAACAAUGGCUUCUCAAAUUUGCAUACUUAAGUAGACAAAAGUCUUACAUUUUAAGCCCACCUCAAACUUCAAGGUUAUCAGUUUACAGUUUAUUAUAUACUAAUCAUAUCUGCUGUGCUGCAUCUCGUACCCCCUUGGCUCUGGAUAUUCUGCUGGCAUCUUGGGAACUUAGCCUUGAGAGUGAACUUCCUGUCUCAGGACAAACAUUUAUACACUUGUACCACGAAGAGAAGACACCUUCCUUGAAAUGACUCUAAAAUUGUACAUAACGUAGGAUGUACAUAUGCGAAAUGAAAUCCUUUAUGAGGAAGACAUCCCGUGAGAAAGGAGAUGCUGCAGAAAUGUCAACAUUUUGGCAUGUAUUGGCUGAGGAAAAUCAACUCAUGUAACAAAUGCUGUUAAAAAUUAAAUGAAAUAUUUUUUUCUUUUUCUUUUAGCAUGUAUGUAUAUGAGAUGAUGGAUAUUCACCAUACUUAUUGUGGUAAUAAUUUCACGAUGCUCUGCUGCUUCCCGGUGAUUCCAUUGCCUCUGCAGCAAUAACAGAUCAUUUAUUAGACACCUACUAUGUGCUAAACAACUGAUAUGUAUUCUUGAAUCACAACAGCAUUCUAAGCGGUUGACUGAUUGUACCUGCCAGCUGGCUAAUAUCAUAAUUAACAAAGUUGCUACUACGUGUGCAAAGUUUAAUCGAAAAAUUUGCCAGUGCUAUGAUGGCAUUGUCACAAAGAUCACAAGGGACUCGGAGUCGACUUUUGCUCAAGGUGGAACGGCAAAGCUGUGUAGGCAAAAUGAGAAAUCUUGAACUUGUUCAGCCAAAGGUUAUGCUUCAUAUCACCCACCAGGGAGGAUCAUCUCUCAUGAAAACUUUCAAAUUUGAUUUUGAAAAUUAUUCAGAAAAAUUUAAGCCAUGCUCUCUCCCAAUGUAGGAAAGAAAAUACUCUGGAGAUUCCUAUAAUUCAAAGAAAAUGGACUGGAGUAACAUCUGAGUUCUCAUGCAGCCAGAAUCCUCUUGAGAAGAACAGCCAGGAGGCUAAUAAUGGAGGGGCCAGAGAAGGAGGCCAGUGCUCCGAGGGUUAUCUCACAGCCUCAGAUGCUGGAUAAGCCGAAGGAGGCAGAAUCGCUUCUGGAUGACAUUCAGAAAGGCCGGAGUGAUUAUUGGAAGAGAAAAGCCUGCCUAUUCUUUUCCAAGGUGCCUGACUAUUCCCCGGGCCCGCCCGUCCGGCCACUGAUGAAUGAUUAGCCACCUGCCUCAGACAAAGGAUGCCCUGGGAGCCUCCCCACACCUACGGCCGCUUUGAAGGCUCUGCCAAGCUCACUUUUAAUCACGAGAAAGGAAUUACCCACAUGGAGUCAGCAGAAAAUGAGAAAGUAGAGCUCGUGCUGCGAAUCAUUCCAGCAAGUGCCAAGGGGCUAGUUGAGGAAUGGCUUCAACGAGUUUGAGUUUAAUAUGUUCAAGAGAGAAAGUAUGCUUAAAUGAUCAUACACCACCAUACACCCACCAUCUUGAAACGUUUUUUCCGGAAGGAAUAUUUGUAAGACAUAUGCAUGCAUUGAGAAAUUAUUGGAUUCAUACUGGACCCCAGGUGAGAAUUAUGCCUAAAAAAAAAAAAAAAAAAAAACCUAGAUCUGUCCAACAGUGUUGCUAGAAUACAGCAGAGCAGCUAAGAAAAUCUGUAUUCUUUUCACAUGUAAUUGAAAAUGAAAGAAAAAAAAGCAAUUAACAUCCCAGUAUUUUUGAAAUGUGCUUAUUUUUUAUUUAUUUUUGUUUGUUUAUUUUGCUCUGAAGACCAAAUUUCAAGAGAAAUACUUGAACUGCUUGGUUAGUCAUAAGUUUAGCAAAGAUUGCCAUUGGUUAUAAACUUGAUACGAAUCAGCAUUGCUGCGCUAUGGUGGUAAAGCUACCGCUAUUCUGAGUGGUGUUAACUAAGUAUGAGGCAAAAGAAAUCAGAAUUGAUACUUCCAGCAAUCUUUGUCAGACUUUUACUUUGAAAAACUAUCUAGUUUUGCUCAUGAAUAUUUAUUAUGCAUCUUCUAUCUAUCCCAGGCUCUGUGCUGGGCAUCGAUGACAUAAUGGGGGAAAGUUUUAUCCCCUCUUGCCCCUGCUUUGAAGUGCCAACUUCCUCUCCAUUACUGUACGGACCCAGUGCUCACAAACACCUUCCUCAGAAUUUCCCAGGAUCUCUUGAGCUUCCAGAAUGGUUCUGACUCAUUGUUUAUAUCAGCAGAAAUCACUGGGAAUUGCCUGGGGCGCUGCCUACCUUCAAGGUGAAGCUGGGGAAAAUGAGCUGUGGCUGGAUUUCGAAUUCUUAAAGAAGGAGGACGAAUCAUGUUAGAAUCCCAGAGAGAACAAACAGACUCCUGAUACGUGAAGCCGGCGCGUGAUUGAUUAUGACGUUUUCUUAAUACAUGAGCUGCGCCUGCGCUCUCUUUGGAAAAUGCUUCUCAGACGGAGCGCCUUGCUCCCGGCAGAGGCUACCUUGGGAGAAAAUGGAAUAUUGUACUUCACUCCUCGUGUUACCACUAUCGAUCGAGCCUGCUCUCUUGCUGCUUCUAGACCGUGAGCUUUUUAGGGAAAGUGCUGGAACUCAUCUACACCCCCAGCACCUAUCACAGGGCUGGUCACACAGUGGAUCAGCGUGCAGUGGCAGGAUGAAUGGACGUGUGUUUGCGGGAUGAAUGGAUGUGUGAAUGAAUGCAUGUCUGGCUCCUUGCCCUGGCGAUGCUUUGUUCUUUUCUAGCAGAGCUAAUUGACUCCCGGGUAGAGCUCCAUGACGAGUCUUGUCCUCUGUCACCUGGAGCCUAAGAAAUCUAGUGCCGCGGCUCAGGUAUUGAGUCCACCUUGGCAUUCCUGAUUCUCGGCUGUCGUCGGUCUCUGUCUGACUUCUCAUGAAAGCACAGGGGACAUUUACUGUUCAUGAAUACCCAGAUCCCAUUUUACCUUCUUUCAGAAACACCUGCUCCGUCCUCUCGUUCGGGGUGAUUCUGAUGAGGGUGACACUCCUUUCCUCCCUCCAGCCCUAGGAGUGGACCGAGGGUCCAGGUAUGAACAAUCAGGGUUCCCCGUCCUCUGGCCAGAGUGAUUGCUUCAUUCAGAAAAGACACAUCACUCCUCAGAACACCUUCCAGUGACUCUUAGGACUUCCGUUGAGCCAAUAGGGGAAAAGUAGCUCUUUCCCACUGGGGAUGCCAGGCUAGUUCAGUGUGAGCCUCCAGCCGCUGGUGGUCAUCUUGCUCCUGCAGGAGAAUGACCUGCCUGAGAAUGAAGCCACAUUAGGAAGGGGUGUUUUAAGAGAUGCAGAGAGAGGUAUUCUGGACAGCACGAUGUACAUGUAAUUUAAGAGUUCAUCCAUGCUUGGAACCCAGUCUGCUUAUUGGACUUCCACCUAUAUAAUCCAG